rnacentral:lncRNA from 1 species
AAACUAUGAUCAAAUGAGUUUUAUUCCAGGUAUGCAAGAUUGGUUCAACAUAUGCGAAUCAAUAAAUGUGCUUCACCACAUAAAUAGAGUUAAGGUCAAGAAUCCUAUGAGCAUCUCAAUAAAUGCAGAAAACACCUUUGAUAAAAUCCAGCACCCAUUCAUGUUAAAAACACUGGAGAAACUAGGGAUAGAAGAAACUUACCUCAAUAUUAUACAGGCUAUAUAUGACAACCCAAAGCCAACACAUAACUGAAUUAAAAAAAAAAAAACUGAAAGCAUUUCUUCUAAAAUUAGGAAUAAGACAAGGACACCCAUCUCACCACUCCUAUCCAAUAUAGUACUUGAAACUCUGUCUAGAGCAAGCAGGCAAGAGAAGGAGACUAAAGGGAUACCAAUAGGAAAAAAAAAAGUCAAACUAUCUCUGUUUGCUGGUGACAUCUUAUAUCGAAAAGAUGCCCCCUCCCCAAAAAAAUACUCCAUCAGAAGACUCCUAAAACUUAUAAAUUCACCAAAGCAGAAAAAUACAAGAUAAACAUUCGUAAAACAAUAACUUUCCUAUGCUCUAACAGUGAUUUUGCCAAAAAAGAAACCGAAAAAAUUAUCCCAUCCACAUUAAUCUCAAAAAAAAAUCCAAUUAAAAUAUCUGGCAUUUAAUCUAACCAAGGAGGUAAAAGAUCUCUACAGUGAAAAUUACAGAACACUGAAGAAAGAAAUCAAAUAACUCAGAAGAUGAAAAGACCUUGAGUGUUCUUGGAUAAGCAGAAUUAAAUGGUCAAGAUGGUUAUACUGUCAAAAAUGCUAUACAGAUUCAAUAUCCCCAUUAAAAUAUCAAUGAUAUUCUUCACAGAACUAGAAAAAAACAGUCCUGAAGUUCAUUUGGAAGAAUAAGAGACCCAAUAGCCAAAGCAAUCUUUAGCAAGAAGAGCGAGGCAAGAGGGAUCACAAUACCUGAUCUCAAAUUAAACUACAGAGCUAUGGUAGCAUCGCGCUGGGUGAAAUAAGCCAGACUCAGAAAAGCUACCGUGGAGUAUUUCUCUCAUGUGAAUAGAGCAAU